rnacentral:rRNA from 1 species
AUUGAACGCUGGCGGCAGGCCUAACACAUGCAAGUCGAGCGAGCGGCGGACGGGUGAGUAAUGUCUGGGAUACUGCCUGAUGGAGGGGGCUAAAUACUGGAAACGGUAGCUAAUACCGCAUACCAUCAGAUGUGCCCAGAUGGGAUUAGCUAGUAGGUGGGGUAACGGCUCACCUAGGCGACGAUCCCUACCUGUUUUGAGAGGAUGACCAGCCACACUGGAACUGAGACACGGGCCCGACUCCGACGAGAGGAAGCAGUGUGGAAUAUUGCCCAAUGGGCGCAAGCCUGAUGCAGCCAUGCCGCGUGUGUGAAGAAGGCCUUCGGGUUGUAAAGCACUGUCAGCGGGGGGGCGUUACCCGCAGAGGAAGCACCGGCUAACUCCGUGCCAGCCGCCGCGGUAAUUC